GAGCCAGCAUGGCGUAGUGGUUUGAGUACUGGACUAUGACUCCAGAGACAAGAGUUCAAAUCCUGGCUCA